GCGGACGGGUGAGUAACACGUGGGUAACCUGCCUGUAAGACUGGGAUAACUCCGGGAAACCGGGGCUAAUACCGGAUGGUUGUUUGAACCGCAUGGUUCAAACAUAAAAGGUGGCUUCGGCUACCACUUACAGAUGGACCCGCGGCGCAUUAGCUAGUUGGUGAGGUAACGGCUCACCAAGGCAACGAUGCGUAGCCGACCUGAGAGGGUGAUCGGCCACACUGGGACUGAGACACGGCCCAGACUCCUACGGGAGGCAGCAGUAGGGAAUCUUCCGCAAUGGACGAAAGUCUGACGGAGCAACGCCGCGUGAGUGAUGAAGGUUUUCGGAUCGUAAAGCUCUGUUGUUAGGGAAGAACAAGUACCGUUCGAAUAGGGCGGUACCUUGACGGUACCUAACCAGAAAGCCACGGCUAACUACGUGCCAGCAGCCGCGGUAAUACGUAGGUGGCAAGCGUUGUCCGGAAUUAUUGGGCGUAAAGGGCUCGCAGGCGGUUUCUUAAGUCUGAUGUGAAA
rnacentral:rRNA from 1 species